UCCUAUGUGGUCUAGUGGUUAGGAUUCCUGGAUUUCACCCAGGCGGGCUGGGUUCCAUUCCCGAUAUGGGAA